AUUGAACGCUGGCGGCAGGCCUAACACAUGCAAGUCGAGCGGAUGAAGGGAGCUUGCUCCUGGAUUCAGCGGCGGACGGGUGAGUAAUGCCUAGGAAUCUGCCUGGUAGUGGGGGAUAACGUCCGGAAACGGGCGCUAAUACCGCAUACGUCCUGAGGGUGAAAGUGGGGGAUCUUCGGACCUCACGCUAUCAGAUGAGCCUAGGUGGGAUUAGCUAGUUGGUGGGGUAAAGGCCUACCAAGGCGACGAUCCGUAACUGGUCUGAGUGGAUGAUCAGUCACACUGGAACUGAGACACGGUCCAGACUCCUACGGGAGGCAGCAGUGGGGAAUAUUGGACAAUGGGCGAAAGCCUGAUCCAGCCAUGCCGCGUGUGUGAAGAAGGUCUUCGGAUUGUAAAGCACUUUAAGUUGGGAGGAAGGGCAGUAAGUUAAUACCUUGCUGUUUUGACGUUACCAACAGAAUAAGCACCGGCUAACUUCGUG
rnacentral:rRNA from 1 species